UUCCGGUUGAUCCUGCCGGACCUGACUGCUAUCGGAUUGAUACUAAGCCAUGCGAGUCAUUGUAGUAAUACAAGGCAGACGGCUCAGUAACGCGUAGUCAACCUACCCUAUGGACGGGGAUAACCUCGGGAAACUGAGAAUAAUACCCGAUAGAACAUAAUACCUGGAAUGGUUUAUGUUUCAAAUAAUUUAUUGCCGUAGGAUGGGACUGCGGCCUAUCAGUUUGUUGGUGAGGUAAUGGCCCACCAAGACUAUUACAGGUACGGGCUCUGAGAGGAGUAGCCCGGAGAUGGGUACUGAGACACGGACCCAGGCCCUAUGGGGCGCAGCAGGCGAGAAAACUUUGCAAUGUGCGAAAGCACGACAAGGUUAAUCCGAGUGGUUUCUGCUAAAGGAACCUUUUGUCAGUCCUAGAAACACUGGUGAAUAAGGGGUGGGCAAGUUCUGGUGUCAGCCGCCGCGGUAAAACCAGCACCUCAAGUGGUCAGGAUGAUUAUUGGGCCUAAAGCAUCCGUAGCCUGCUUUGUUAGUUUUCGGUUAAAUCCAUACGCUCAACGUAUGGGCUGCCGGGAAUACUGCAAAGCUAGGGAGUGGGAGAGGUAGACGGUACUCGGUAGGAAGGGGUAAAAUCCUUUGAUCUAUUGAUGACCACCUGUGGCGAAGGCGGUCUACCAGAACACGUCCGACGGUGAGGGAUGAAAGCUGGGGGAGCAAACCGGAUUAGAUACCCGGGUAGUCCCAGCUGUAAACUAUGCAAACUCGGUGAUGCAUUGGCUUGAUGCCAAUGCAGUGCCGCAGGAAGCCGUUAAGUUUGCCGCCUGUAAGUACGUACGCAAGUAUGAACUUAAGGAAUUGGCGGGGAGCACACAAGGGUGAAGCCUGCGGUUCAAUUGGAUUCAACGCCGGAA
rnacentral:rRNA from 1 species